AAACGAUGUCGUGUUGGGUCAAUUUAUUAACACCAUCCUGGACUCCGUCUCUCAUUUUCUCUGCCUCUUCCACAACCCCGAUUUGAAGCUCAAACACACUCUCUCUCUCUCUUCCAAAACCCUCGAUUUGAAGCUCAAACACACAGACUCUCUCUCUUGCUCGCUCGAUCAAUUGAGAUUUUGCAUUGUAUGUUCUUUAUCAAUGUUGAUCGAAGCUCAACAACUCUCAAUUUAAAGCUCAAACACAUAGAACUCAAUCGCAGCAGUUUGCUCUAGCUGUUCUUCAUCAAUUGCAACGAUCUCUGUUCUUCAUCGAUCUCGAAGCUACUUGAGUGAGGACGGGCACCAGACGGUCCAGACUCCGAUCUCUUUGUCUAUUACUGCAAGCACUGCAGAUCUCAUGUCCUCAUCACUAGUUCGCUUCUCUAUUUCUCUUCGUCUAAUUCAUCUCAAUUCACCUUCACCUACUUCUCUAUUUGAAUCUAUCUAUGUUAUCUACUUACCUAUAUAUACACACAUUUAUAUGCACUAACUUCAUUUCCACACACACAAAAAAACUAAACAAUAUUGGAUUAUCAUCUUUGAUUUUGUUAUUUAGAGUGUUUGUGUUUGUAGUUUUUUUUUAAAAAAAAAUUAUUUUGGUUUUUAACUUGUUCAGACUGCUAGUGUCUGUGUUUCUGUUCUUCAUCAAAAUCGAUUUGUUCUUCAUCAAAUCGCAGAUCCAAAAUUCAAAAUUCAAAAUCCAAAAUCGAUCUGUUUUAGCUGAUCUCUCUUGCUCUUAUCUCAGAUGAAAAGCUUGAACCAUUGAGUUGGGAUUUGAGGAUUCAAAUAGCUGUAGAUGUAGCAAGGGCAUUAGAAUACCUUCAUGAUGGGAUUUCCUACCCAUCGGCCUUUUACCCCUUGCAGAGACACUACCCUCACCAACAGUUGGAUUGUUACCAACACUUGGACUAGUGUCAUCUUCAAAAGAAAUGCAAUUAUCCAUAGGGGAAUCGGGGGCUGAAUCAGGGAAAAAUGGUGUAUGUAUCCUUAACUUCACCGUAUUCAUAGGAGUUACAUCUUGCCACCUGAUAUUGUUUUGCAAGAUUGACCAACAAUGUUCAAAAGCAAAAUGUUUCUUUUCAUCUUGAUGGUAUAAAAGUUUUGCUUGAAACAUCUGUAUCAAUAUUGAAUUAAGUAAGUAUCAAUAAAAUAAAAUAAAAUAUGAGAUCUUACUAGAUAAAAUAAAAUAUGUAUCAAUUUUGAAUUAAGUAAUUAUUUAAUUUUUUUAUGAGACGAAAUAAAAUAAAAUAAAAACUAACGUAAUAAAUGAAGAUGAAAUCUUACUAAAUCAACUUGAGACAUCCCACUUGGGUGUAGAUUUUCGACUUGCGCUAAACAUCCACGAAAUUUGUUAGAACAUUUCAUGAUUGUACCCCAUCGAGAUUGGAUAGAAACUUGUGUUCUUUACUGAUCAUUCUGAAGGGAGCAAUAAUUUUCAUAAACUCUCCCCCAAAAGUGAAUAUAAGAUUGUGAAUUACCAACAAUUGGAUCUUCAGAAAUGUGACACCAAGCUUUACAAAGUGCCAUAUCUUCAGUAAUGGUGAAUUAUUUUCCUCUCUUUAUUUUUGAUGAACCUUCCAUACCGAUUGUGUAAAGAAAAUAUAAAUAAAAAUAAAAAUGUAAUUUAGAAAAUUUGUUGUGAAAUGAAAUUGAGUAAAAAGAGAGCACAAAAUGUUUGUAUUUAUAGAAAAAAAAAGAGCCAUUUUAACAUAAAAAAGAGCCGUUUUAUUUUUAUAGCCGGUUUGUGUUAAUCCUUUUUUUUUAUAGCCGUUGUAGAUAUAUGUUUCAAUUAUGCUUUUAUUUAAUUUUUAUUUUUUUAAUGAAUAAAGUAAUCCACUCAUGAAUAAAGUAAACCCAAGUUCAAUCAACUUUAGGAAAUUUCCAGAUCCACUCUUGAGAGAGACAGAGAGCUUCGAAACUUGAGAGAGAGAGAGAGAGAAAGAGAGCUUCAGAUGAGUGAAGAUCAGAGGGAAGAGGGAAGGUCAGAGGGAAGAUUAGAGCUUCGGAUGAGUGAAGAUCAGAGGGAGAGACCUUCGAAUGAACUUCGGAUCAGCUUUAGAUCAAUGAAGAUGAACUUCCAACCCUUUUCAACCCUCGGAUCAGUGAAGAUUUUUUUCAGAUCAGUGAACUUCAACCCUCGGAUCAGAAAAUCCCAACCGAAAGGGAAGGAGGGAAGGAAGGAAGAGAGAAAACAGUUAAUUUUGGGUGACUUGGCAGAUUUGGCAGCUGCCAAAGUAGUUGCCAAGUUUGGCACUUGAUUUGGCAGUUGCCAAAUUUGGCGGCUGGUAUAGCAUGCCAUUGGAGAAGCCACGAUUGUCCAAGCUGCUAUAUUAUGGCUUUGGCAGCUGAUAUAGCCAUCCAUUGGAGAUGCUCUAAGGUUACUUAAGAGGUUGGAUUUUCCAGAAAUGAAAUUUAGCUUGUAUUUUAUGGGCUAUGAGGUAAAGUCUUCUGCAUUACUUUUGUAAUAUUUUUUUUUUCUUUCUAUUUCUAUCUUCUAAAACCAUGAGAUUCUAAUUUUUUUUUUCUGUUUCUGCCAUAUGUUCGUUGAUGUUCUUUUUAAACCUUGUUACAAGGAGGAGAUAGUUGAUUGGUGCUCUGCCCCUCUACAAAGAGGGAUGAACACUUGGAUGGAGUGGAAGACAACUGUGUAAUUGAUCCACAGCAUUAGGGACAUUGUUGAUAACUUGGGAUAUUAGCUCUUUCUAGGAUGGACUUAACAUCAGCUCCCAGCAAUGCAGUUGAUCGUACUGUUUGGACAUUUAGUCAGAAGGCUACAAUUGAGCUCACACAAUAUAUUUUAUUUUGAUAUCACAUUUUUUUUUUUUUUUUGAGAACGUGGGUUCUGAGAGUUUUGGGACCCACUUUGUUUGGUAAUCUUGAUCCUAUAUCUUCAAGCUUUGUAUUGUAAGCUUCACUUGCUUGUUGCAUCUGUUAACAGGUGUUUGAUUUUUUCAAACUUUCAUGAAACAAUGCUAACCUGAAAUUGCUGAAUAAUCAAUUUAGGCAAUUGCUGGCUUGCAUAGAAAUGGAGAUUGGUAUAUUCAUUAGGAGAACAUUGAUGGUGGUGUUAUUUUGUCUGUGGGUGCCCAUGAAAGUCAUGGCUAGGACUGGAAAUGCUAGUGUUUCUUCCUGAAAGCCAAAUGUAGUAAAUAUUGGAGCUCUGUACACCUUCAAUUCUGUUAUUAGACAAUCAGCAAAGCCAGCAAUUGAAGCUACGGUUGAUGAUGUCAAUUCCGAUUCAACUGUUCUUGUUGGGAUGAACACACACAAAGAGAAGCUCAUUCAUAUAUUUAGUUUUGGCAUAUGAGCUCUGCGAGAAGUUUGACGCCAACAAACAUGUGGAUUGAAGAGUAUAUUUUGUGUGGAUUGAAGAGUACAUAGAUUUUGUGUAGUAAAAAUCUCAUGAAAUGUGCAAUUAAUUUGGUUCAUAGAUGAGUUGAAUACUUUAAUGUAUUUUUCCCUAACUUUGUAUAAUGUUUUAUGAUGGGUUGAUUACAAUAUAUUGGAUGUAUAAAAAUUCUGAUUAGCUUGAUGCAUGGUGAUAUGUGAAUUUGAGCCAU